rnacentral:rRNA from 1 species
GACGAACGCUGGCGGCGUGCUUAACACAUGCAAGUCGAACGGAAAGGCCCUGCUUUUGUGGGGUGCUCGAGUGGCGAACGGGUGAGUAACACGUGAGUAACCUGCCCUUGACUUUGGGAUAACUUCAGGAAACUGGGGCUAAUACCGGAUAGGAGCUCCUGCUGCAUGGUGGGGGUUGGAAAGUUUCGGCGGUUGGGGAUGGACGCGCGGCUUAUCAGCUUGUUGGUGGGGUAGUGGCUUACCAAGGCUUUGACGGGUAGCCGGCCUGAGAGGGUGACCGGCCACAUUGGGACUGAGAUACGGCCCAGCCUCCUACGGGAGGCAGCAGUGGGGAAUAUUGCACAAUGGGCGGAAGCCUGAUGCAGCAACGCCGCGUGCGGGAUGACGGCCUUCGGGUUGUAAACCGCUUUCGCCUGUGACGAAGCGUGAGUGACGGUAAUGGGUAAAGAAGCACCGGCUAACUACGUG